GUGCACUCUCGUCUGCCGAUUACGGAGGCGACAUUCCGACACUGUUCGUGCGUUGCUGAAAAUGUGUAAAGAUCUGAAGAUAAGCUCCCUCUCUCUCACCUUUGCGUUUUCCGGCGAACCCAAAGUUUCGGCGCUGCCUUCUGUCACUCCGGCAAGCUCUUGUGCGAUCUUGUUUGCCGAUUCCUUUCUCGAUUCCAAACUGUUUGUGCUUUGUUACUGAAAACGAUCCUAGAUCUGAAGAGAAGCUCCCUCUCUCUGACGUCUGCGUUUUUCGGCGAACCCAAAGCUUCGCCGCUGCCUUCUGUCACUCCGGCGGCACCCUUCUGACCUGAGAAGAAGUUAUCUUGCAAUGUAGUACCCGAAGCCAAGGGAAGAACAUUAGAAAAAAUUCAGGCAUCCAUCAAUACAUUCUCAGCAUCAACUGCUUUUUUGGAGUGGAAUGCACUUGUGCUUCUAUAUUAAAAUCUUCCAAUGCUAACGGUGAUGCUGUUGACAAAUAUUGGAAAUGAGUGGACAUUUGUUUCCUUCAGUAAUGCUGGACUUGGAAGAGGUUGGACAGCUUUUAAAAAUGAGUGGACAUUUGUUUCCUUCAGUAAUGCUGGACUUGGAGGAGGUUGGACAACUUUGAAAUUUUUUCAGUUUGCCUCCCCGAGUAUAAAAUGAAUUUGAAUUGGUAGAUGGUUCAUUAUACACAUGAUCAGUAUUGUAAAUGCUUUUAAUUUUAACUGUAUGAAAUGGAUUAUUGAUUAUAUGCAAGUUUUAUAAAGCUCAAAUAGAAUGAUUUUUAAUGGAAUGGUAUAUAAUGAUUUUUAAUGGAAUGGUAUUCAUCAUUAUUCAAAAGUUUUAUAUAGGAAUGAUAUCAAUUUAAAUGGAAUUACAUGUUUUCAUAUUGUCAAUUAUUGUUAUACACAAUUUAUAUUGUCACUAAUUUUUUGUUACAGUUUGACUCUGUCAAACAUGUUUUGUUUUCAUAAUUUUUUGAAACGAAAUAUCUGCCAAACAUAUUUUACAAUGAUUCUGUUCCAAAAUUCUCACUGAAAUUUUUCGUCGCAUCUUAGAACAUAACAUGACAAAACACUUGUUUUGUUUUAAACAAAACACAACGUAUUGUAAACGGGCCCUUAUUUAUCGUCGCCAAACACAGAACAAAACAUGACAAGUAGUUAAGUAAGAGAUAAACGUUAGAGAUUGAGAUAUGGUAACACAUAUUUAAUAGGAUAGAGUUUAAUAAUAAGAAGGGUUUACUAACAAGAGGGGUUGGAGGGUUAAUUAAGAAAAUAUAUAAUUGAAAAUAUAUAAUUAAUGAAUAUUUAUCAAAACAUGACAAGUAGUUAAAUAAGAGAAGAGGCACGAAAAGUUAGAGAUUGAGAUAUGGUAACAGAUAUUUAAUAGGAUAUGGUUUAAUAUUUAAUAGGAUAGCGUUUAAUAAUAGGAAGGGUUUACUAACAAGAAGGGUUGGAGGGUUAAUUAAGAAAAUAUAUAAUUAAUGAAUAUUUAUCUCGUGAAAUCCUGUGAUGUCAUGUGGCUAAAAAUAAAUGACAUAACGUUAAAUGAGAAGAUAAAUUUAAUAUAAAUAUAGUUUUUGAAUUUAACAUUUUUUUGAAUUUAACAGUGUUCAGUGUACUAAUGGAAAAUAAUUAUUUCCUCAAAUAAUAAGAUACGGAAUUAUUGGAUCACAAUACAAACAUUUAACAUACAUCUAGCACACUGGUGUCUUCUAUACAUUUAACCGUACAUCUAGCACACUGGUGUCUUCUAUACUACAGUACUAAUUAAGGUUAGCACACUGGUGUCUUCUAUACUACAGUACUAAUUAAGGUGUCUUCUAUACUACAGUACUAAUUAAGACGACGUGGUUCCGGGGGGAGUAUGGUCGCAAGGCUGAAACUUAAAGGAAUUAACGAAGGGCACCACCAGGAGUGGAGCCUGCGGCUUAAUUUGA